UGCCUGCAUGGUUAUUACUAUGAAGAUAUUAUAGAAAGUUCAAAUUAACAGUAUUUAUUUGAAAUAUAAAUCUUUUGUUUGUCUAUUUAUUUAUUUAAAUACAUAUUUAUUAUUGCUUUCUUAUUGGAAAUGAUACUAUAUUUUCUACGUCUCAUGAUCCGAAAACGUUGACACAUUUAGAAAAUGAAAAAUGUGGGGAACGAAUAUAAUGCUGCACCACAUGCUGGCUGCAGAAUGCGCACCCCUGAAAUUAUUCCCCUCCUGCCAUGUUGCACACCAUAGAUGAGUUGGGCUGCAUUGCAGGAUAAAAGGGAGCCAUAUUGAGAUCUCACGAACCAUUCCAUGAGAAAUUCUCAUGUGAUUCUGCAACUUCAGAGGGCAGAUACACACUUCUUCAUGUAGAAAAGCAUUUGGCUAUGAAAAGAUUUUCGUCAGGUUGCAAAAUAACGAAAUCUGAAGUGUUUUAUUUAUAAAGAGACGGACAAAAAUACAUAUUUUUUUAGGUGGUUGAUGAAUAGUUUAGGUGAAAGGGUCUCUGUGACAGUGAGGUAAUAGCACUCAAAUAUGUUUGACUGUCUGGGGAGCGGCGGACCGCCAGCCAGACUGUGACCAACUGACACACUGACUGACACACACACACACACACACACAGGGUGCAUUGAAGAGACUGUGCCAAUGCCUGGAUUAGGCAGCCAUGUAAACAAGCAAAUAGAUAUGGAGACAAGCAGACAGACAGACCCAGGCAGAGAGACAGAUGGAUGGACAGACACAAAUACAAAAUGCUAUUAAUUGCAUCCGUUUAACAUAGCGGGCACAGCUCCCCGUCUGCAGCGGGCACUAUAUUUGAUCGUCGGGCAUAACGGACAUAUUUUUCGCUAUCAGUUCGUUAAGCUGAGUGAGUUUGCGCCUUAAAGAAAGAAAUGAUACAGCGCUCGGACCGCUUCCCGUGGCUUUUUCCAGAAUAGGACAGUGAGCCGUGCUGUCUCUCGCUCGCUCUCUUUCUCUCUCUUGCAUCUAACUUUCUGUCUCUGCCAUUUUGAUGAGGUUGAAAAAAAAGUGUAUCUCUUUUUCUCUCUCACUACGUGGCGUGGAUUGGAUGCCGACUGGAAGGGAGGAGUAGGAGUGAGAGAGAGUGUGCUGCUUGGAUAGACGGAGAGAUGGCAUAUUUGCAGAAAGAGAAAUGUGGUGUGAAAGCAGUCCUUUUCAGUCUUCACUCUUUAGACUGUUCUGUCGUCCGUAAAGCUGCUUUUUCUUUUCUGCACUACUCACGCUUAUCUUCGUUAUAAACUUUUUUAUAGCUUUAUUUCAUUGCUCUGUCAGUUUGUUUCUGUUUCAAUCUGCUCCUUGCUUGUUUUUAAUCGCCCCUCAGUUAGUUUUAUUCAUGGGAGUUAAAGACAAAGGGAAACGUCCACAUUUUGGCACCACUAAGGGGAGUCAGAACUGCAGCCAAGGACCCUGCUGAGAUCCAAAAACCCCAGCACAGCGAAGCGCCAAAAAAAAGAAAAAAGAAAAAAAGAAAACACCACCCUUUCCUUUGCAUGGUCACAAAUUCCACUCUCCCUGUAGCCAGGGCAGUGCCGCAGCACCUCCUCGACCACAUCUCACCGCAUUCGACCUUUCCGCCUUCUCUUCUCAGUCUUCCACGGAACCUUUUCUGACCCAUUUUUUGAGGGUUUUCGUUUUUUUUUUUUUUUUUUUUUUACGGUAAAUACGGAUAGGACCGGCCGCACAGGAGGGCGAAAGCGGGGACAGGGGCUGUUUCAAUGUUGUCUGCCGAUGACUUGGCGAUUUGCUCUGGUUGAACUAGGGAUGCCGUUUUGGCUUCUUUUUCGAGUUUGUAGGUGCUGUAUGUGUUCUUCCUUCAUGUCAGGACGUGUUUGUGUAUUAAUGGUUCAAUCGUGUGAAUGAGCACUUUUGUGCUUCCUUCUAACGUGCUGUCUUUCUUUUCUGCUUCAGAUUUUUUGCGGGUAACGGAAUUGGCCUAGUCUGCACCCUAAGCCUGACUCCAUAUUGCCGCCAGGUGUAGGCUGACUCCGGUAUGGACAUCGAACUGGUCAGCACCAUAGACAGACGUCCUCCACCGGGCAUGCGGAGGACCGCAGCUCCCAGGGCACGGUCAGUCACUGCCGUCAGCUCGCUUCGGCGAGGGCAUGCGGGCACCCCUCCUCUCCACUGCAGUGUGCCACAGUGCUGGAUGAAGACUAUUGUUCUGGUGCCCUCGUCUUCUUCUGGCACCACACCUCACCCAUCACACCAGCCCACUUCAUCAAACAAGUAUGUGAGUGUGUGAAACUGGUGCAAGGUCAGUGUGAAAAUGCAGGACGGUUAUGAUGGAAGAUAUUUGCUUUAAUCACCGUGGGGGUUUGGCAUGGAAAUUUCGUCUCCUUUUAUUGCUCAGCAUCCCUUGUCCAUAUGCCAUCGUGCAGUAGAGGAAUGCUGCUGAAGUUAUAGAUUUCUUAAAGUGUCACUCCACUGAUAAUAUCCGCACACACGCCGUUCCUCCCACACACACACCCCGUUCCUCUCGCUCACUGUCAGGAUCAUGGUAGUCGGUCUGCAGUGCCAGCACACGCCCCAGGAACGCCCAGAUUUUACCGCAGUACCAAAGUACCCUGAGCAGUCUCACUCACACAAACACACUCGCUCCACCCGCAAUAUGAUUAUGAGAAAUAAUCAGCUCAGAGAGUAGCGAAUCGAUGUCUAGCACAAAGUUAAAAUAUCUGAAAUGUUAAAGUCACACACAGAAAGACAGUGUUUUUGCCUGUCAUCCGGUUUGAUUGAUUUUUGGAUCGUUUGAUCUUUUAUUUAUAUUUUUUUCAGCGUUCACGCAGCCAUUGAAAACCUGGAAAUCUAAGAGAGUAAUAAAAAUGUGAUUUAAGUAUAGUAUACAUUGAUUAUUGAAUUAUUAAUGGAUACUGAGUGCUUCUAUAAAGUAAAACAAGACUGCAAGCCGGUGUGAAACAUCGAUCUGUAUAUUGAGGGAUUCAUACUAAAGUGUUGACUAUUAACUAGUUGCUUAUUAGCAUGCCUAUUAUUAAUCUAUUAGCUGUUAAUUAGUACUUAUGAAGCAUUUAUUGUAGAUGACCAUACCCUACAUCCUUAAUCCUACAAAUACCUAAACUUAACAACUACCUUACUAACUAUUAAUAAGCAGCGAUUUAGGAGUUUAUUGAGAAACAAAGUCAUAGUUAAUGAUUUGUUAAAAGCGAAAAUUGAAUAAAGUAAAUAAAGUGUGACCGGAAAGUCAUGUUCAUUUAAAAUAGAUUCCCUCCUAUUUGAGAUCUACCAGUCAAACACAUCUGUAUGUUUGGCGAAGUCAUUGAAAUUAGUUGGUCAAAAACUUUUUCUUAAUUUUUUUUUUUUAAACAUGAUGUUCUUGUUUUGUGUCUGGCCAUGUGUGCAUGUCUGUGUAUUUUGCAGUAAGAAGACACCGUUGUCCCUUUCUCACAGACGUUGUCCCACAUGGCCAUAUGUUCGAGGCUGGCAUAAAGCAUCCUACAUAUUUCUCUAUAGUCUGUCCUUCUGAGUGCUUCCACACAAACAGAAAAACAAACACAUACUAAUAAUGCUGGAUGUUAAAUGUGCAGCAAAGAAGAAUGCGUUUGGAAGAAAGUGGGAAAAAUAUCAAGAAAAAGCAUAGCGCGAGAAGAAUAGCUGGACGUCUGAAGCUCAUUUGUCAUUUAAAAAGAGAAGCAGCAGGAAUGUGAGUAAAUAGCAGUUUUUUUCCAGGCAUGCCCGACUGCAGCUCACCCCCUCAGUCCAGCUGAUUUCUCUAAAAUAAACCAGCACAAUGGACCAACAGAGCAUUCGGCCACAGUCACAGCCGCUGAAUCGCUGGGAUCCUGUGCAUGAGGAUGUAUGUAGUCUAGAGGGAGAAUGUAUUUAUGUCAGUGUGCUACAUUUGAGGCAGAUUUAUCACAUGCAGUUUAUUUCAAUUUCUCUUGUUCGAAAAUUCUCUUGUUUUCAAUCUCUGGCUCUUGCAUGUGCCCUCUCUCUUUCCCUCCCUCUCUCUCUCUGUCCUCAGAUGGCUUUCAGCCUACUUUCCUAUAACAGAAAACAGAGCAGAUUGGAGUCAGCAUUCACAGUCAGAGGCAGGCGCAAGCACCAGAUAAACGCCCCCUUUAAGUUUGUGUAUACUCAACUGUGUAUGUGAGUGCACCUUAACUAUGCUUUGUGUUUCUCUAUAUAUCUUUCUGUCAUUUUUCAGUAAGAUGGCCUAGAUGGAAUCUAGAACUGGAUCUAAAAAUACUCCAUUAGUAUUCUUGGUAUCUAAAUGAAUAAUCACUAUUAGUGAAAGACAAACAUGACAUUGCUGUGCAUAUGUGCAGAUUACACAUGGGCCUGGAAAUCACCAUUCUGUGUCUCGACAGAGCUGUUUAUAUUCCAUCCUUAUGAAAGAUGCUUGGUUUCAUCUUCGGAUCUUUUUCUGUUUUUCUUUUUCCAACUUAUGUAUAUUUUACGUCUGUCCUCUGUAUCAUCCCUCCUGCCUCUCACUCACGUUUCCCAGCCACAAGCACUGAGAAUAUUCCUUCUUUCUCUCUCUCUCUCUGUCUCUCUCUGUCUGUCUCUUUCUCUCUUUCUCCCUCUAUCUCCCCCUUUCCCAACCCUCUCUCUGUCAACUAAAGCCCUUUCAUAAUGAAUGGCAAGGUACGAUAAUAGCCUUUCGGUUGCUAUAGUAACCAGACAGGAGCUCUGUUCUUGCUGUAUUUUUUGUCCUUUAUUUUUUUUUUUCAAGGGGGCAAAUGACAGUGGAAUGUGAGGCGAAACCCUCCCUCUCACUUUCCCUCAUUCUCUUUCUCAUACACUCACAGCAGAUUCCCUGUUUUCUUACAGGUUCAUAUGAAAAACCAGUUCCAUAUUGUUAUUGUAUAUUUAUGUUAUAAUAAGAACUGGGUAGAUAAUUUACUAAUUAUAAUCUGUUACUGAUUUCAGUUGUUAGCAACGUAAUCCGUUAUAUUAAAGAUUUUAAGUAAUAUGAUCAGACUACUUUUCGAUUACUUGGGGAUAACUUUUGACGUGUGUCGUUUUUCACAUUGAUUUAAAUAGGAUAAUCCUGCACCAUAUUGAUCUAAAAUGACAAAGAGUAAGAAAAUAUUUUUCCAUUUGUUGUUAUCAAUAACAUGAAGUGCAUUAAACAUUAUCACGUCACGUCAUGGUUUCCCAAAAUGGGGUUUGCGAAGGAACUACAGGGAGUUAUUGUGUUCAGUGAAAAGCUAAUAAUGAAUUAAAUCAUACAAAUUUUAAAUUUAAACAAAUAAUUUUAAAAGGAAUCGAAAUAAAACACUUACUGAAAAAAGUUUAUAUUUUAUUUGUUUACCUUCAUGUCGUGUGCCCAUAACCAACAUAAGAGAACCAUGAACAUGCAAACGUGAUACCUAAUUAUUUUAUGCUAAAUAUAUUAGGUGAAAGAGGAUCAGAUGACAGAAAGGUUGGUGAAUUUGUGAAUUAGUGCAUUUUAAUGUGUUUAAAAGACAAACAAAAGUAAGACAUGGUAAAAUAACCAUUUGAUACUUGAUACGAGUGAUACUUCAAUAAAAAAUGAAUGUGUUGAUCAGUAGUUGAUGCAGUGUUGAAGCACUUCUUAAACCUGAAAGGAUUUGUGAAAAUCAUGUGCUCAAAUGCUGUUAUUAAACAUAAGUUUUUUUUUAAUUAAUAAAAACAAAGAUAUUUCUCAGAAUGUGAUGGCUAACAGUGCAUCUAUAAAUAAAUGGUUUAAAUAAAUCUCAUUUAGCUUCCUUGUAAAAAUCAUUUCAAACUUGAUUAUAUGAGUAAUAUCCUCGAUGCUUUGACUGAUAUAUCAAACCUAAUUGAAUUCUACGAAACUAUUUUCUACUCAUGACACAUGAUACACAACGCAGGCAUUUAUUUUUCAUUUACGUCACGAAUUACAGUGAAAUAAAUGCAAAAGUCUACAUUAUCAAGGUGCCGAUCAUUUAUAAUGUGAAUGCUGUGCCCUCGUUUCCAUUUGUCUGUCUGUACAGAUCACAUGUUCAGAGGCAGCGGUAUAUGAUGCCUGUGGCCUUAGCUCUUAUAGUGGGGUGAUAAGUGGUGGACACAGAUUAAUCAUCAACACACAGACAAACAUGCGUGUACACACACACACACACACACACACACUGUCUCUGUGCAGCUGUUGAAGCUGAUGGUGUCACCAUAGCGACAGCAGUGUGCCACUGAACAUCCCAGCCAGCUGCUCUCUGUAGAAACACUAUUGAUUGAGUCUGUUCCACUCCCACUUCAAAAUGUGUAUGUAUGUUAGCUGUCAGCAUCUGCGUACAUCACCGUAUCUCAACAUUAGGGUUUCAGAUGUUUUCUGAGCAAUAAUUGCGCGUCCUUGAAGUGUUUACAUUAUAGUGUUGUUAGUUUUCAUGUAAGGGUGGAAGCAUGUGUAUCCAUGUGUGUGCAACAGAUGGAUCGGACGGCUCAUCGUAUUCCUGCUAAAGCAUGUAAAAGACAUCCCCGAUAUUCAUCUUAUUGUCCUUCCCCUCUUCCCUCUUUGGACGUCCCCAAGGACCAGUGCCCUCUAAGACUUACUGCGGCCCUUUAGGAGACCUCUCGCUCCCCCUUAGUGGUUCAAUGUAUCAUUAAAGAACGGAUUAGUGUGGGCCAGCCCAGGAGACAGACUUGAGCACCUGACAAAUUUAAGCUUAUUAACGACUGAAAAAGGGGAAAAACCUGCCCAGGAAGCACUGAGGGGUGGAGGCCAAACCCUGUGGACUGCUGAUCUGUCAGCAUAUGGCCUGAUGCUAGACACAAGUAAUGCUAAUAUAUAUGUUUUGAGAGAGGGUGUCUGACGAGGAAGGUGCACAUGCAGUCGAUAGAAAUGAUGAAAGUGGGAUACAGUAUCUUGGUUUUUGCCUUCAUACAUUGAGCACGUUUACAUGCACACCAGUAUGCUGAUAACUUACAAAUAUCAGCUUAUUAAAAUAACCAGUUUGCCCGUUUACAUGCACAUCAGUAACCUGACAACGCAAGUAAGCUGCGUUUACAUGGCUUCAUUAAAAAUCGGGUUAUUUCCCUUUAGUGAUGUCAAAAUAUAAUCAUUUGCAUAUCUGACUCAAUGUAUUCCAUACAUUUGUCAGUUGUGAUGUUAAAUUAAGCUUGCAACAUGUAGGGAAACUCACAGCUCGUAUAUUAUCCUCUCAUGCAAUAAUAAACGUAGCAUUGUGAAAAAAAAUUCUACUUAUGCUCCACAAGAUGAGAACACAUUUAUAUCAUUUUCUGAGUCAUGAAACAGUCUGCUUUCGUGAUAUAUUUCCUUCUUUCUAUGUUGCAAGACUUUUGCUCGGUUUAGAUGCGCUUAAAUCUGAACUAGCAAAUGCGUUCCUGUCACAUUUCACACAUACGCACGUCAAUAAGCUGACAGAAAGCGGGUUAUUGCAUUUACAGUACUGCACAUGCCGUGCAGAAUCGGAGUAAGAGGCUAAAAACUAUCUGUUGCGACCAGUUUAUGCGUACGCUGUUUAUGACCUUACGCUGAUAAAAGGAAACCGAUUACCGUGUUUACAUGACCAAGUGCAAUUUCGACUUAAGCAUAAUCAGCUUGCAAAUAAACACGUUCAUUGUUUACCAGAGCUCCAGAGGCAGUCAUACCUCUGUAAGGAAUUUUUCCAGAAUUUUGUUUCUGGCUCUGAUUUUGAUUCCUCUUAAUGAUUCUGGUUCAGUUAAUACAUUUUUGGUAAUAGAAAUGCAGUUGAUUCAGCCUAAUAAACUGUAUUUGGAAUGAUCACAAAAUUCAAGA